GAUGAACGCUAGCUACAGGCUUAACACAUGCAAGUCGAGGGGAAACGACAUCGAAAGCUUGCUUUUGAUGGGCGUCGACCGGCGCGCGGGUGAGUAACGCGUAUCCAACCUGCCCACCACUUGGGGAUAACCUUGCGAAAGUAAGACUAAUACCCAAUGAUAUCUCUAGAAGACAUCUGAAAGAGAUUAAAGAUUUAUCGGUGAUGGAUGGGGAUGCGUCUGAUUAGCUUGUUGGCGGGGUAACGGCCCACCAAGGCUACGAUCAGUAGGGGUUCUGGGAGGAAGGUCCCCCACAACGGAACUGAGACAAGGUCCAAACUCCUACGGGAGGCAGCAGUGAGGAAUAUUGGUCAAUGGGCGAGAGCCUGAACCAGCCAAGUAGCGUGCAGGAUGACGGCCCUAUGGGUUGUAAACUGCUUUUAUAAGGGAAUAAAGUGAGCCUCGUGAGGCUUUUUGCAUGUACCUUAUGAAUAAGGACCGGCUAAUUCCGUGCCAGCAGCCGCCGUAA
rnacentral:rRNA from 1 species